rnacentral:tRNA from 1 species
GCCUGGGUAGCUCAGUGGUAGAGCAUCUGCCUUCAGCUCAGGUCGUGAUCCUGGGGUUGUGGGAUCGAGUCCUGCGUCGGGCU